rnacentral:rRNA from 1 species
UAGUGAAUAUAGGACGUCCAACUUAACUUGGAGUCCGAACUCUCACUUUCUAACCCUGUGCACUUGUUUGGGAUAGUAACUCUCGCAAGAGAGCGAACUCCUAUUCACUUAUAAACACAAAGUCUAUGAAUGUAUUAAAUUUUAUAACAAAAUAAAACUUUCAACAACGGAUCUCUUGGCUCUCGCAUCGAUGAAGAACGCAGCGAAAUGCGAUAAGUAAUGUGAAUUGCAGAAUUCAGUGAAUCAUCGAAUCUUUGAACGCACCUUGCGCUCCAUGGUAUUCCGUGGAGCAUGCCUGUUUGAGUGUCAUGAAUACUUCAACCCUCCUCUUUCUUAAUGAUUGAAGAGGUGUUUGGUUUCUGAGCGCUGCUGGCCUUUACGGUCUAGCUCGUUCGUAAUGCAUUAGCAUCCGCAAUCGAACUUCGGAUUGACUUGGCGUAAUAGACUAUUCGCUGAGGAAUUCUAGUCUUCGGAUUAGAGCCGGGUUGGGUUAAAGGAAGCUUCUAAUCAGAAUGUCUACAUUUUAAGAUUAGAUCUCAAAUCAGGUAGGACUACCCGCUGAACUUAAGCAUAUCAAUAAGCGGAGGAAAAGAAACUAACAAGGAUUCCCCUAGUAGCGGCGAGCGAAGCGGGAAGAGCUCAAAUUUAUAAUCUGGCACCUUCGGUGUCCGAGUUGUAAUCUCUAGAAAUGUUUUCCGCGUUGGACCGCACACAAGUCUGUUGGAAUACAGCGGCAUAGUGGUGAGACCCCCGUAUAUGGUGCGGACGCCCAGCGCUUUGUGAUACAUUUUCGAAGAGUCGAGUUGUUUGGGAAUGCAGCUCAAAUUGGGUGGUAAAUUCCAUCUAAAGCUAAAUAUUGGCGAGAGACCGAUAGCGAACAAGUACCGUGAGGGAAAGAUGAAAAGCACUUUGGAAAGAGAGUUAACAGUACGUGAAAUUGUUGGAAGGGAAACGCUUGAAGUCAGACUUGCUUGCCGAGCAAUCGGUUUGCAGGCCAGCAUCAGUUUUCCGGGAUGGAUAAUGGUAGAGAGAAGGUAGCAGUUUCGGCUGUGUUAUAGCUCUCUGCUGGAUACAUCUUGGGGGACUGAGGAACGCAGUGUGCCUUUGGCGGGGGUUUCGACCUCUUCACA